GGCCGUGUGGCGUAAUGGUAGCGCGUCUGACUACGAAUCAGGAGGUUGUAGUUUCGAGUACUACCUCGGUCA